rnacentral:rRNA from 1 species
CAAUAGCGUAUAUUAAUGUUGUUGCAGUUAAAAAGCUCGUAGUUGGAUUUCUGGUGGGAGCGGCCGGUCCGCCGUAAGGUGUGUACUUGGUUGUCUCCUGUCAUCCUUGUGGGAACUGCUCUGGCAUUAAGUUGUCGGGGUUAGGGGACACAUCGUUUACUGUGAAAAAAUUAGAGUGUUUAAAGCAGGCUUAUGCCGUUGAAUACAUUAGCAUGGAAUAAUAAGAUAGGACUUUGGCGUCUAUUUUGUUGGUUUGCACACCAAGGUAAUGAUUAAUAGGGACAGUUGGGGGUAUUCGUAUUCCAUUGUCAGAGGUGAAAUUCUUGGAUUUUUGGAAGACGAACUACUGCGAAAGCAUUUACCAAGGAUGUUUUCAUUAA